rnacentral:rRNA from 1 species
AUUGAACGCUGGCGGCAUGCCUAACACAUGCAAGUCGAACGGCAGCACGGGUGCUUGCACCUGGUGGCGAGUGGCGGACGGGGGCGUGAUACAUCGGCACAGGUCCUGACGUGGGGGAUAGCCCGGAGGAAGCCGGAUUUAUACUGCAAACGCACACCGCCUGCGAGCGGGGGCCCUGGAGCCCUGGCGCUUUCGGGUUUGCAUGAGGCGGUGUCGGAUUAGCUAGUUGGCGGGGUAAAGGCCGACCAAGGCGACGAUCCGUAGCUGGUCUGAGAGGAGGACCAGCCACACUGGAACUGAGACACGGCCCAGACUCCUACGGGAGGCAGCAGUGGGGAAUAUUGGACAAUGGGCGAAAGCCUGAUCCAGCAAUGCCGCGUGUGUGAAGAAGGCCUUCGGGUUGUAAAGCACUUUUGUCCGGAAAGAAAACCUUGGCCCUAAUACGGUCGUGUGAUGACGGUACCGGAAGAAUAAGCACCGGCUAACUACGUG